GACGGAGGAUGCAAGUGUUAUCCGGAAUCACUGGGCGUAAAGCGUCUGUAGGUGGUUUAAUAAGUCAACUGUUAAAUCUUGAGGCUCAACCUCAAAAUCGCAGUCGAAACUAUUAGGCUAGAGUAUAGUAGGGGUAAAGGGAAUUUCCAGUGGAGCGGUGAAAUGCGUAGAGAUUGGAAAGAACACCGAUGGCGAAGGCACUUUACUGGGCUAUUACUAACACUCAGAGACGAAAGCUAGGGCAGCAAAUGGG
rnacentral:rRNA from 1 species